UAAGCCCUAAAGUCUCUUGUGUGUAUAAUAAGGUAGAGAGAAUAGAGGCAAAGAGAUCCCAAUGGGACAAGUGGCCACUGCUUUGUUUCUACACUCAUAAACUUUAGUUGCUCUGUUGCUGCUUCUUCACCUACUUCAUUCUCCUCAUUCACAGCUGGAAAUAUUACCUUGGUUUGAAGCAUCAAAGUGCAGUGUCCCUUCCAUAUAUUGAUCUCAAGCCAUCACAACUAUAUUAAGGGACCUAAUUUCUGUUGAUUUCAGGAAUGUGCAUCUUGGCUUGUGCAGUGGAGAUAGCACCAUGACGGGCCUUGGGCCCAACCUAUGAAGCCUUUCAUGCAAGUCAAUAAUCAAACCUUGUGUAGUGUUUUUCCUUACAAAAAUGUUUCAAUUAUUAAAUGGUGUUCAUCAAUAUGGAGCAGCUGCAUGCAAAGAAACUAUCAACCUCUUCUUAAUUUCUCUAAGCAGAAGGACUAUAGAAUAUUAUAUGUUACUGCUCUUUGCAUCUUGGUGUUGCUUCUUCAAGGUUGUGAUGGAUAACUGUGGGAGCAUAUAUCAAAUUUCAUUGAUGGCUUUUAAUAAAGCUCAUCAAUGAAAAUGGUCGGAAUCAAUUAAACCAAGAUACCCUCUUGUACAGUCCAAGGAUAUAAACCUACCAAAUGUGUAUUUGGUGAGGUCCUAUUUUCUUGAGCUGUUGCUGAAGAGAGUUCCCCUUGACAACUUCAAAUUUGACUUUGUUUUCUUUUUUUAUUUGCUGAAUUAAUCAAAAUUGUUGAUCAGUCUACUUGGUCACGGCUCUAGUUUAUUUUUGUACUUCAUCAUUGUAAUAGUACUUAUUAUGAGUUUUAGCUUCCAGAACGAUCUUUGGAACAGAAUGUAAUAAAUUUAAUAUUGAUGUUUAAUUAUUGCUGUGAUAGAUUAUA